GAUGAACGCUAGCGGGAGGCUUAACACAUGCAAGUCGAGGGGUAACAUGAGGUAGCAAUACUUUGAUGACGACCGGCGCACGGGUGAGUAACGCGUAUGUAACCUACCUUGUACAGGGGGAUAGCCCGGAGAAAUUCGGAUUAAUACCCCAUAAUGAUAUCUGAAGGCAUCUUUAGAUAUUUAAAGUUUCGACGGUACGAGAUGGGCAUGCGUGACAUUAGCUAGUUGGUAAGGUAACGGCUUACCAAGGCUGCGAUGUCUAGGGGUCCUGAGAGGGUGAUCCCCCACACUGGUACUGAGACACGGACCAGACUCCUACGGGAGGCAGCAGUGAGGAAUAUUGGUCAAUGGGCGUAAGCCUGAACCAGCCAUCCCGCGUGAAGGAAGAAGGCGCUAUGCGUCGUAAACUUCUUUUCCGGAGGAAUAAAAUUUCGUACGUGUACGGGACUGAAGGUACUCCGGGAAUAAGCAUCGGCUAACUCCGUGCCAGCAGCCGCUGUAAUAC
rnacentral:rRNA from 1 species